AGAGUUUGAUCAUGGCUCAGAACGAACGUUGGCGGCGUGCUUAACACAUGCAAGUCGAACGAGAACGAGUUCUUCGGAACUUUAGUAAAGUGGCGCACGGGUGAGUAACGCGUAAGUAAUCUACCCUUGCAUCUGGGAUAACUACGGGAAGCUGUAGCUAAUACCGGAUACGUUCUCCCUUCUACGGAUUGGAGAAGAAAGAUGGCCUCUUCUUGAAAGCUAUCGUGCAGGGAGGAGCUUGCGUACCAUUAGCUAGUUGGUAGGGUAAUGGCCUACCAAGGCAACGAUGGUUAGCGGGUCUGAGAGGAUGAUCCGCCACACUGGAACUGGAACACGGACCAGACUCCUACGGGAGGCAGCAGUGAGGAAUAUUGCGCAACGGGGGAAACCCUGACGCAGCGACGCCGCGUGGAUGAUGAAGGCCUUAGGGUCGUAAAAUCCUGUCAGAUGGGAAGAAAUGCAUAUAGCUUAAUACGUUAUGUGUUUGACGGUACCAUCAGAG
rnacentral:rRNA from 1 species